rnacentral:rRNA from 1 species
UACAGAGGUCUCAAGCGUUGUUCGGAUUCAUUGGGCGUAAAGGGUGCGUAGGCGGCGCGGUAAGUCGGGCGUGAAAUCUCGGGGCUUAACUCCGAAACUGCAUUCGAUACUGCCGUGCUUGAGGACUGGAGAGGAGACUGGAAUUUACGGUGUAGCGGUGAAAUGCGUAGAUAUCGUAAGGAAGACCAGUGGCGAAGGCGGGUCUCUGGACAGUUCCUGACGCUGAGGCACGAAGGUCAGGGGAGCAAACGGG